GACGAACGCUGGCGGCGUGCUUAACACAUGCAAGUCGAACGGAAAGGCCCUGCUUUUGUGGGGUGCUCGAGUGGCGAACGGGUGAGUAACACGUGAGUAACCUGCCCUUGACUUUGGGAUAACUUCAGGAAACUGGGGCUAAUACCGGAUAGGAGCUCCUGCUGCAUGGUGGGGGUUGGAAAGUUUCGGCGGUUGGGGAUGGACUCGCGGCUUAUCAGCUUGUUGGUGGGGUAGUGGCUUACCAAGGCUUUGACGGGUAGCCGGCCUGAGAGGGUGACCGGCCACAUUGGGACUGAGAGACGGACCAGACUCCUACGGGAGGCAGCAGUGGGGAAUAUUGCACAGUGGGCGGAAGCCUGAUGCAGCAACGCCGCGUGCGGGAUGACGGCCUUCGGGUUGUAAACCGCUUUCGCCUGUGACGAAGCGUGAGUGACGGUAAUGGGUAAAGAAGCACCGGCUAACUACGUG
rnacentral:rRNA from 1 species